rnacentral:misc_RNA from 1 species
UGUAUAGGUAUUACUAUGAUAUUGUAAUAAAACGACGUGCACAGUCUUUUUCCGACGGGGUGUCCCUAUAGAGUGAUAUUAACGACAAUAAUUCUCCGGUCCACACAGACGCAAUAAACUUACGAAAUGAUUUCCUCAACGUUCUACGUAUCAUUGCUGUUCGGUAUUGGGAUGUUGAUUUCAUGUAGCUUCGGGCGAUUUACGACGGAACAAAUCGAUCACUACGGAAAAGCGUGCAACGCCAGCGAAGAUGAUCUCGUCAUAGUCAAAUCCUACAAGGUGCCAACUUCGGACACUGGAAAGUGCCUGAUGAAAUGUAUGAUCAGCAAACUAGGACUGUUGAACGACGAUGGUUCGUACAACAAAACUGGCAUGGAAGCGGGAUUGAAGAAAUACUGGUCGGAAUGGUCUACGGAUACAAUUGAGAAUAUAAACAACAAGUGUUACGAAGAAGCAUUGCUUGUGUCAAAGGACGUAGUAGCGACAUGUAAUUAUGCGUAUGUAGUGAUGGCGUGCUUGAACAAGCAGUUGAAACUUGACAAAUUGACUUAAAACUCGUAAGCCUCACAUGAAUUUCACAUGAUUAAAUUUGAUGUCAAAUUUCAAGACCAUUUCAAUAGAUUUGAAGCUUAAUCGUUUUUAAUAAAAACCUAUUAUAAACAUGCCAACUUUUGAAGCAGAAUUUUUCUUGGAAAUUUCCUUUUUAGAAACUUUGGCAUAUUGAAGCUGAAGAGAUGACCGAAAGAACUAAGACGCGCAUCAAACGUAUAUAUUAUUUUAUUCAUUUUAAAAUCAUACUAUUUCUACUAUUAUGAUUACUUUUACACUUAAACACUAUGUAUUAAACGAUAUAGUAUUUAGUUAAAUAUAAUAAACAUGUAUAAAUAUA